UAGCUCUGGUUUCUCUUAAGUCACAUAUACGUCUUUUGUAUUUUACUAAAGAUUUCUGUAGAGAGGUACAUCAGUGAGUUUGAAGUAUUUUUAUGAGCUUUGGCAAAGCU